rnacentral:lncRNA from 1 species
UUAGUUUUAACGGCUAUGCUUCUUAACUUGAAACUCCUUGGAGGGAAAUGAAGUCUGGUGGGUCUUGUGGUACUCAGUUUGUGGGAACUGACACCAGACGCCGCAAUUGGCCGGAAAUUUUGGUGAGCAUGUGCGCUGGCCAUUGAUUUUAUUUUAUUUUAUUGUAUUUCUUUAUAAUCUUUUCACUAAUUUUAAUCGAGGAGUCUAAUGGUGUGGCUUUGUCUUGGUGGAGUAGUUUGGAGAGGCAAGGAAAUGAUUGGCUGAUAUUGAUUGAAUAUUUUGAGAAGGCCAAUAGUCAAAUGACGAGUGAUGUGUAGGGUCAGCUGCAUCUGAAUGAUGUACAAUAAUGUAUGUAUUGUCCUUGGGCCUUGGGUUGGGUACCUGAAGAAUCGAGAGUUCUUCGGGUCGGGUCACCAAUCCCAAUAGUAAACUAGUGGCCACGACUCAUGAAUGUACAAAUUCAUCAAUGCAAUGAUUUUCAGGAAGAUGCAUAUUUUUUU